GAAUCUAACCCUAGAGCACUAUACAAACUACAAAGCCUCAGAUCUUGAAACGGUUGUUCUUGCACUUGUAGAUUUGCAGUUCAACACCAAAGCCAAUUCUCUGAAUGAUAUACGUGAAAAGUAUAAACAACAUAAGCAUAUAAACCUUCCAAAACAAGUAUUAUUCUAAGAGGAUGGUCAUUCAAAACGAAAGCGCGUGCCUAUUAGGGUUGAGAAAGAAUAGUAAUUAGCUCUAAUGAUGUGCGAAAAUUUGCGUUCUGUAAAUUAUUGGUUUAGGGAAGCAAGCAAACUAGAAUGGAUCCAUAUUGGUUUAUUGAUGUUCACUGCCAAUUUGCACAGGUAUAAAAUUAUUGGUUCGUAGAUUGGUGUUAAGAUUUGUAGCUGGACCAAGUCACAGCUUCGAGGAUGGAGUGGUUGCUACAAGCAUUCAUUUUAUAUUGAAAGCCAUAGGUUAAAGCUAUUGUGGGGGAAAUGGGCAUUGGAUUUUUGGGGAUUGGCUUCCAACCAAUGUGGGGAAUCAAAGACAUACCUAUAAUGCCAAAGGUAGUUUCUCUUUCUCCACAUCUUUUUAAGUGCAUGAACUAGCUGAGUGGAUUUGGAAAUGUAUAUACUUGUUCCACUAUAACCUCACAUUGUGUAACAUGCUAGAAUGACUUUUACCUUGCUAGUUCAAGUUUCAGGGCAUAUAAGCUUUUAUUCCUGAAAUAUCUUUAUUUAAGAGAUUACUAAUUGAUUCCUUAAUCACCAUUGAUAACCCACCUUUUCUUCAUAGCUUAGCAACUUAUAUUAAGGGAGGCAAAAUAGUUGGGCUUAUUUGAUAUAGUGAUUAAACAGUAGUGACCAUUCUUCUUUCUUAUGUUUAGUGCUUUAAUUACUUGCUUUUUGACUGGAUCUUGAUGGCUCAGGAAAGAUAUGAUAUCAUGAGGAAUUACAUGCCCAAAUUUGGUUCCUUUGGUCUUAACAUGAUGUUCAGAACAUGUACUGUACAGGUGAGAUGUGUGACGAUCAUUGAGCUGAUUUAUCCUUGAGCAAUGCUGAUUUGAAGAUGGUGAAAUAAAUAUCUUCUGAAAGAAAAUUAAUCAGUUCAACUCAUGACAAAUAAAGCUCUUGUAUUGGUAGUAAUAAUUUUGAACUUUAGAAAUGCUUUUUAAUUUCUCUAUUUAGUUGGCAUCUGUUGCUUUUGCAGUGAUUUUAAAGCAUUUUCUAGUUAU